GUUCACAUGAUGAAUUUAACUGUUCAACUGCUGAAUGAUUCAUACAUGAACUAAACUGCAUUCUGACUGAG
ensembl:snoRNA SNORD5 small nucleolar RNA SNORD5